CAAGGAUUUGUGAGAUGGUGUCUCAGUUUGCAACCUUAGCCAGGUAAACCGAUCAUUAGCCAGAUUCAAAGUAAACUUUUGCUUCUACAAUAUUUGGAACACAAGGACAUAAAUAGUAAUGGCUUUAUACUUGAGGAAUAAAUACAACCCUUUUUCCAUACUCUGUUCAAGAGAGAUAUUUCCGGUCCAGUUGUGACAUUCUAAGAACUCAACAAUGCUAAAUGCUACCAUCACAGCCCCCAAAAAUGGGAAAAGAAAGACACUUCUCUGUGUUGUUGCUCUUUUAAACCCUAUGGUCAAUGGGAGACGCAAGACUGUUAUCUGAUUAUUAUUUACCAGUGUGAUAGAAUUUUAGUGUGAAACUAAUCCGUGUUCAACUAGGAGUUCACCACGUCUGGCCUUGACUGGAAGAAUUGUGGGUGAAGCCUAAUAAUAAGGAACCUAUCCUAAAAAGAAAAGACGUGGCUGGCAAGAUACUUCUCAGGAUAACGGGACAUGUAAGAGGAGGGCAGCUUCUAGUACACUGCUCCUAUAUUCCAUAGCCUGUCUUCCAUUCCAGGUUUUGGUCAGAGCAAAAACAAUACUAAAACAAUUUUUUUAUUAUAUGCAAUCAAAAAACUAUAAAGAAGGAUUUUAACUCCUGAUUUUUUACUCCUAAGUCAAUUUGGUUUUGACUCAUUCGGGCUUCUGAGAAUACCAAGGGACUUCCAGGCCAUUGGCAAAAUAGUGAGUAUUCCAAUGGGACAUGGCAUCGACGGUUUCAGCAGCGGCCAUAGGAGAAGCAGGCACAGCAUGCACCUGUGUGCCUGACACCGGGCUUAGCACCUUAGCACAGACAAUGACAGGCACAGCAGCAGCAGCCUCUGCCAUGUGGGGCGCCAGUGACAGAGCGCCUUUGGUGGGCAUGACCAGGGGUGUAUAUCAGCAGCAGAGGAGCACAGGACACCAGGGCGGACGUGGAGUAAACGGUGGACAUGCUACCAAGGAAUGAGAGAUUGCAUUCAUGAGCAAAUAAGAUACACCCUCGAAGACAAAGAGGGUAUUUGAGGGCAUGGCAAUGAUGAAGAAUGCUACUGAAAUUUAAUAAGUAAAAUUUAAUGAAAUUUAAGUGAUUGGAUUAAACUUAACGAUUUAAUAAA